UAGGGAAUCUUCCACAAUGGACGCAAGUCUGAUGGAGCAACGCCGCGUGAGUGAAGAAGGUCUUCGGAUCGUAAAACUCUGUUGUUAGAGAAGAACACGAGUGAGAGUAACUGUUCAUUCGAUGACGGUAUCUAACCAGCAAGUCACGGCUAACUACGUGCCAGCAGCCGCGGUAAUACGUAGGUGGCAAGCGUUGUCCGGAUUUAUUGGGCGUAAAGGGAACGCAGGCGGUCUUUUAAGUCUGAUGUGAAAGCCUUCGGCUUAACCGGAGUAGUGCAUUGGAAACUGGAAGACUUGAGUGCAGAAGAGGAGAGUGGAACUCCAUGUGUAGCGGUGAAAUGCGUAGAUAUAUGGAAGAACACCAGUGGCGAAAGCGGCUCUCUGGUCUGUAACUGACGCUGAGGUUCGAAAGCGUGGGUAGCAAACAGGAUUAGAUACCCUGGUAGUCCACGCCGUAAACGAUGAGUGCUAGGUGUUAGACCCUUUCCGGGGUUUAGUGCCGCAGCUAACGCAUUAAGCACUCCGCCUGGGGAGUACGACCGCAAGGUUG
rnacentral:rRNA from 1 species